rnacentral:rRNA from 1 species
CCUACGGGGGGCAGCAGUGAGGAAUAUUGGUCAAUGGGCGAGAGCCUGAACCAGCCAAGUCGCGUGAGGGAGUACUGCCCUAUGGGUUGUAAACCUCUUUUGUCGGGGAGCAAAAGCCGGACGUGUCCGGCUGUGAGAGUACCCGAAGAAAAAGCAUCGGCUAACUCCGUGCCAGCAGCCGCGGUAAUACGGAGGAUGCGAGCGUUAUCCGGAUUUAUUGGGUUUAAAGGGUGCGCAGGCGGAUUUUUAAGUCAGCGGUAAAAUCGUGGGGCUCAACCCCAUCCAGUCGUUGAAACUGGGGAUCUAGAGUGUGCGAGAGGUAUGCGGAAUGCGUGGUGUAGCGGUGAAAUGCAUAGAUAUCACGCAGAACCCCGAUUGCGAAGGCAGCAUACCGGUGCACAACUGACGCUCAGGCACGAAAGCGUGGGUAUCGAACAGGAUUAGAUACCCCUGUAGUC